AACGAACGCUGGCGGCAGGCCUAACACAUGCAAGUCGAACGGGAUCUUCGGAUCUAGUGGCGGACGGGUGAGUAACGCGUGGGAACGUGCCCUUUGGUUCGGAAUAGCCCCGGGAAACUGGGAGUAAUACCGGAUAAGCUUUACGGAGGAAAGAUUUAUCGCCAAAGGAUCGGCCCGCGUUGGAUUAGGUAGUUGGUGGGGUAAUGGCUCACCAAGCCGACGAUCCAUAGCUGGUUUGAGAGGAUGAUCAGCCACACUGGGACUGAGACACGGCCCAGACUCCUACGGGAGGCAGCAGUGGGGAAUCUUAGACAAUGGGGGAAACCCUGAUCUAGCCAUGCCGCGUGAUCGAUGAAGGCCUUAGGGUUGUAAAGAUCUUUCAGUGGGGAAGAUAAUGACUGUACCCACAGAAGAAGCCCCGGCUAACUCCGUGCCAGCCGCCGCAGUAA
rnacentral:rRNA from 1 species